rnacentral:lncRNA from 1 species
AUGCAAGCUCACAACCUAUGUCUUCUGAAGAAAAAUCAUUUCUGUUGCAGAUUUUGCAUUUAGACCGAAUGAGAACCAUUUUGUUGCCCAUCCGAGGAUAAGGAAAAGGCCAACCCCACCAAAACGGUCAACAAGGUUCUUUGUUUGUUUACCCCUUGGCUGGUGAAAGAUUGUUGUGCAUCAAGUUAACCUGUGGCUGUUCCUUGUUGCUGGUGUCUUGUUACAGAAGUUGCAGGCAGUUUCGCGUAGUUGCUGUCCGCUGUGGUACGUUGUUGCAGCCUAUGCUGGUGAUAGAUCUUUCUGCAUCAAAUUCAAUUGGCCGUUCCUUGGUGCUGGUGUCGUGUUAAAGUUGCAUUAUUAUUUUAUUAAAUUGGCAUUGUGUCAAUGUAGUUUAGCGUUAUUAUGUUAAGAAGAAACAAAAAAGAAAUAUGGGGUGUUUAUGUCAAACAAAUAAUAAACAUGAUUUUGGGAUUGGGAAA